CCUACGGGCGGCAGCAGUGGGGAAUAUUGGACAAUGGGCGAAAGCCUGAUCCAGCCAUGCCGCGUGUGUGAAGAAGGCCUUCGGGUUGUAAAGCACUUUCAGUGGGGAAGAAAGCCUUGGGGCUAAUACCCUCGAGGAAGGACAUCACCCACAGAAGAAGCACCGGCUAACUCCGUGCCAGCAGCCGCGGUAAUACGGAGGGUGCGAGCGUUAACCGGAAUUACUGGGCGUAAAGCGCGCGUAGGCGGUCUGAUAAGCCGGUUGUGAAAGCCCCGGGCUCAACCUGGGAACGGCAUCCGGAACUGUCAGGCUAGAGUGCAGGAGAGGAAGGUAGAAUUCCCGGUGUAGCAGUGAAAUGCGUAGAGAUCGGGAGGAAUACCAGUGGCGAAGGCGGCCUUCUGGACUGACACUGACGCUGAGGUGCGAAAGCGUGGGUAGCAAACAGGAUUAGAUACCCCGGUAGUC
rnacentral:rRNA from 1 species